AUUGAACGCUGGCGGCAGGCCUAACACAUGCAAGUCGAACGCGCGGCGGGCGGGUGAGUAAUGUCUGGGAAACAGUCUGAUGGGGAGGGAUAACUACUGGAUACGGCAUCUAAUACCGCAUUCCAUCAGAUGUGCGCAGGUGCGGUUGGCUAGUAGGUGGGGUAACGGCUCACCUAGGCGACGAUCCCUAGCUGGGUUGAGAGGAUGACCAGCCACACUGGAACUGGGACACGGUCCAGACUCCUACGGGAGGCAGCAGUGGGGAAUAUUGCACAAUGGGCGCAAGCCUGAUGCAGCCAUGCCGCGUGUAUGAAGAAGGUCUUCGGGUGGUAAAGUACUUUCAGCGGGGAGGCGUUACCCGCAGAAAAAGCACCGGCUAACUCCGUGCCAGCCGCCGCGGUAAUAC
rnacentral:rRNA from 1 species